AGGGUCAACCAUUGCCCAAGUUUGGAGAAUGGGAUGUCAAUAACCCUGCCUCAGCUGAAGGGUUCACCGUUAUAUUUAAUAAGGCUCGAGAUGAAAAGAAGACAGGUGGUAACUCAGGUGCAUCAUCAACACCACCGAGAAACAUAGGUGGUUUGCGACCAGAUGAUACUUACCACUAUCCAAGGAAAAGUCGAAAGUGGUUCUGCUGUGGUUGAAUUCUGCUGCUGGAGCAAUGGGUACUUGGUGAUCUUAGUUUGGGGUUGCAAGGUGUUAAAGAAAGGUUUGUUUUAGCGAACAGAUGCUGUCCUUGAAUAUUCAUCAUGUCCAGUGAUCCGUAUGUAUCGAUGUUAUAUCGAUCAUAAAUAGACAUAAAAGGAGGACAGAUGGAUGCUAAAACUCUUUCUAUUUGUUCAGUUUUGCUAUAUGGUUGCUGGAAAGAGCAGUGUCGUAUAAUGUGUGUCUGUCAUUCGAUUCUGAGAGUAAUUAGAAGAAUAGUCCUCCCUCUGUAGAUCUGCAAACAAUGGCACACAUUCCCUUCA